rnacentral:rRNA from 1 species
CAAUAGCGUAUAUUUAAGUUGUUGCAGUUAAAAAGCUCGUAGUUGGAUUUCGGAUGGGACUUGCCGGUCCGUCGUUUCGAUGUGCACUGGCCAGUCCUAUCUUGUUGUCGGGGACUAGCUCCUGGGCUUCACUGUCCGGGACUAGGAGCUGACGAGGUUACUUUGAGUAAAUUAGAGUGUUCAAAGCAAGCCUACGCUCUGAAUACAUUAGCAUGGAAUAACACGAUAGGACUCUGGCUUAUCUUGUUGGUCUGUGAGACCAGAGUAAUGAUUAAGAGGGACAGUCGGGGGCAUUCGUAUUUCAUUGUCAGAGGUGAAAUUCUUGGAUUUAUUAAAGACGAACUUCUGCGAAAGCAUUUGUCAAGGAUGUUUUCAUUAA